GAUGAACGCUGGCGGCGUGCCUAAUACAUGCAAGUCGAGCGAACAGAUGAGGAGCUUGCUCCUCUGACGUUAGCGGCGGACGGGUGAGUAACACGUGGAUAACCUACCUAUAAGACUGGGAUAACUUCGGGAAACCGGAGCUAAUACCGGAUAAUAUAUUGAACCGCAUGGUUCAAUAGUGAAAGACGGUUUUGCUGUCACUUAUAGAUGGAUCCGCGCCGCAUUAGCUAGUUGGUAAGGUGACGGCUUACCAAGGCAACGAUGCGUAGCCGACCUGAGAGGGUGAUCGGCCACACUGGAACUGAGACACGGUCCAGACUCCUACGGGAGGCAGCAGUAGGGAAUCUUCCGCAAUGGGCGAAAGCCUGACGGAGCAACGCCGCGUGAGUGAUGAAGGUCUUCGGAUCGUAAAACUCUGUUAUUGGGGAAGAACAAAUGUGUAAGUAACUAUGCACGUCUUGACGGUACCUAAUCAGAAAGCCACGGCUAACUACGUG
rnacentral:rRNA from 1 species